UUUUUUCUUUCUGAUUCUUCCAGAAGAGGACUAAAUUGGUUGGUGGAUGAUAGUUGUCCUUUGUAGGGAGGCUGGAUGUAGAAGGUGCUGCAAGCUCUGCAAGCUGAUUAGUUAAUGUGGAAGCUGAAACCUACCUUGGGAAGCUGACCAUUGACCAUUGUCUUGCUUUUACCUGGGUUGCUUCCGUGUUUCUCUUUAGGUUUUUAACAAAGGAUUAAGGCUGAACAGAUCUCUGCAGUUACAAUUAUUCAUACUAGAAGAUCCUGCUAACCUCUUUGUUAUUUGAGCAGCUGGAUGAGAUUCCUGAUUUCCAUAAUCUGUACCUGGAGGUUUAUACAGGAGAGGAUCACUGGGGCAGACUUGAACCAUGGUGCCCACAAGUGGGGAGGGUGCUCCAGCGGCCAUGGAAAGAACUUCCUUCUGCAGUUGGAGACAGCCUUCUGUGUGGGCUGAAGGACAGAGUGUGAUUUUCCACUUGGAAGAGACUCCAGGGCUCUGCAGAGAGGGAAGCCCUGCUGACCCAUUUCAGUAGACUGUGACACUUCAGCGACCUGCAAAUUCUACACAUUAGAGUUCAUAUUUUAUACAAACUUCGUACACCUAAGAUGUGGACUUAACAUUUCUACCAACAACAUCCAACUUCCAACAAAAGAUGCAGGCCCAUCAGAAGAUGAAAGCUACUAAUGAAGAUGCAUUAAAGAUGAUAUUUAUGGCCACCCCUUAGGGAAAAAAAAGAUUCAUAAAUAAUUUCAUGGAAAUUACACCCAAAA
rnacentral:lncRNA from 1 species